AUUGAACGCUGGCGGCAGGCUUAACACAUGCAAGUCGAGCGGGGGAAGGUAGCUUGCUACCGGACCUAGCGGCGGACGGGUGAGUAAUGCUUAGGAAUCUGCCUAUUAGUGGGGGACAACAUCUCGAAAGGGAUGCUAAUACCGCAUACGUCCUACGGGAGAAAGCAGGGGAUCUUCGGACCUUGCGCUAAUAGAUGAGCCUAAGUCGGAUUAGCUAGUUGGUGGGGUAAAGGCCUACCAAGGCGACGAUCUGUAGCGGGUCUGAGAGGAUGAUCCGCCACACUGGGACUGAGACACGGCCCAGAAUCCUACGGGAGGCAGCAGUGGGGAAUAUUGGACAAUGGGGGGAACCCUGAUCCAGCCAUGCCGCGUGUGUGAAGAAGGCCUUAUGGUUGUAAAGCACUUUAAGCGAGGAGGAGGCUGCUCUAGUUAAUACCUAGGGAUAGUGGACGUUACUCGCAGAAUAAGCACCGGCUAACUCUGUGCCAGCAGCCGCCGUAA
rnacentral:rRNA from 1 species